CCUCCGAUCGUGUUGCUUGCUGGUUCCUUCUUCGUUUGUAUGGGUUGUGAGCUGCGUGCAUGGUGCAUGGUUUGCCUGCUUUCUUCUUCCAUGUGCUGUAGACCUGUAGCCCUGCCCUGUCAGAGUCCUUGUGGGUGUUGCGUGUCCAAGCUGCUAGGCUCUCUCAUCACCCCUCCCUCUCGGUGCGUCCGAGGCGUAGCUCGUGCUGCUGCGCGGCCUCGUCGGGGGGAGCUCGGCCAUCUGCGCGGCCUCGCUGGGAGGGCCUCGGAGCGACGACGCGGUCCACUAAAGCAUGCGCUAAUCCUCCGUCCAUCUUCGUUUGUCUCUCUCACUCCCUCAUCUUCGUCUGCUCAGGGCGGUCGGGGCCGGGGGAGUGUGGAGCUCCGUGUAGAACGACGGCUGGGGGCAGAGCUCGGCAUGACGACCGCGGGGGAGCACGGGACGACGACGGGCGAAGCUCUGCGCGGCGGCUGCGAGCUGAUGGUCGUCGAAAGCACACCUGCAUAGGGGCACCUCCAUCUGGACUGGACUGGUACGUUUGGUUCUUGCUUCGUACUCGAAUCAUGGUAAAUUAGAUGUUGGUGAAGUGCCAGUAGUGGUCGGCUUAUUACCCAGCAAAGAUUUGCUUUUUCAGCUUUAUGCAUCAAGGGAGCAUCCACAACUUCAGACAACAUGUCUACCUAUUUACUUGUGUAUGCUUUUGAUGUCCAAUUUAUGAAGUGGCUUGUUUAUUAUUUACUAUGUGAUACGAGCUGAAAUGAUGGUCUAAUCUGUUUGCUAUUAUCCACAUCUUAUAAUAUGUAUUAUUUACUAUAGAUAUUUAUCAAUUUAUUGCCCUGCAUUCCUAUUAUAUGUCUGCAGACUUAUUGAUUUGUUUGCUUACACUUUAUGAAUGAUGUUAUUAAAAUAAUCUGGCCAAUCAUAUUACAAGGUUUGGGUUAUCUCAUAGCAUUUACUUUGCGGUAGGUUUAUUCUUGUGCAACCCCAUGGUUAAGAUAACUGGUUUCGGGUUGUCUAUCACAAUUUAUGUUGCAUGGUUUUUUCUGGCUCCUGUUUAUUCUUAUACUUUUAUAAAUCUGGAUUACAUGAAGUAAAUGAUAUAACUACAUUUCUAAAAUGCACAUGAUGCUCAUACUUUAGUUAAAUUUAUUGACUAUCCUAAAGGAAUUAAUCUACAUUUUUAGAUGGAACAUUAUUAAUUAGCAUUACUUGAAAGCUAAUUCAUGUGGCUCACUUUUAGUUGUAGAAAUCACACAUAUUACCAUGGCCAUUGAUCAUACUAGAUUGGAAUGCCUCAUUUUUAAUUGUCUUGACCUGGGUGGAUGUGGGCUGCAAUCUGCGGUAAGUCCUAUGAAUUCUAACUGGGACUACACUUCUCAUGUUUACUCCGUAAAUUAUUCAUGAGCUUGAUUUUAUACAUUAUUGCCUCUCAAUCAAAUUAUGUGUGGAUACAGGUAGAGUAUUUUACCAUGGCUUUCGCUCAAUCAAAUUAAGUAUAUAUGUAUCCUAUAAUCAAUUGAGGAUCCUGUUGGUUAAUUGGUAAGUGUGGUGGUGAACUUAGAUCAGUACAUCUGAACAUCAACACUAAUUUUAUUGUUUUUCUUUUAGGACAGAUAUAUUUUCUGUUUGGAAUUCAAACUAGAAGGUGAUGUAAGAAAAUUUUGAGAUCCCUCUCCCAAUUCAGAGUUACAGGUUCUUUCCUUUUUGAUAAUUAAUGAAUAAACUACCCUGACUAUUUGCUUGCCCCCUAAAGAAUGAAACCUAUGUUUCAUCUGAAUAGAAUUAUGCAUACUUCUUCCAUGUACCGAUUAUUUAUACUUAAGGUGAUAACAAUUAUUUACCUAUCUGACAAUUACCUCUGAAUUUAUUUCUCUAUGUUUUAAUAAUAGCUGAAUUGUGUCCUCCCUCAUCUAGACUACUUUCAGAUGAUAAAGGGGAAUUGAUGGAGUUAUAACACCUUCAGGUCCAUUAACUCGGCUAACUAAAUUGGUGGAGAGGUGCUAUGCUCAUGUUAAGAUGGCAAAUGUGAACAACUAUACACCAGCAAGCAAAGGAUCCCAGACUCCUCCAAGAAAGACAAGCUUUUGAACCAAUGGUUUCGAUCACGCUCUAACAUGUACGAGAGGAGUUGAUGCAAGCACAUCAAAAAAAUGUAUGUUUUUAUCCAA